UACGAUGUCGAACGCAUAACGUUGCUUAUUUCUUAUCUCAAACAAUUAUAAGGAAAUACAUUUAUUAGAGCUCUCCAAGCCUUGAAAGGGUCAAGCAUCAACAGAGGAUUAUCAGAUGAACUGCUGGUAGUGGCACUUGACUGUACCUGCAAAUUACAAUGUGCUAUUUCCUCCCUUGCUCAGUUUAAGAGGAGUGACCUGCUUGGGAGCUGUAGUUCCUUGAGCUGUUGGCUGAAUACGUUCCACAAACAGUUGUGGCUCAGGCUGUUGGGCUCGUCUUUUGGUCUGUUGGUGACCUUUGUAGCCAGCAGAGGCUGGUUUUUUGUAAGUGUUAUAGGCCUUUGGUAUAAAGUCACGGUAUGCCUUGAUGUGCUGCAUCUUUCUGUCUCCACUCCAUCGAUUCCAUAAAUGAGGGUCAACAGCAAAUUGGUCGAAUCCAGGCGCAAGUCUGUACUUCCCAAUGCCACGAAUGGCUCUUAUUUCUUCCACAAUAAACUCCUGGGACCACUUCUGAAGUUCUUCGCUAACGUUAUGGACUUCUCUUGGUAUGUCUGCUUCCUUGAUGUGCUUUUUCUGAAGUUUGUGCUUUAGUUCUAGGCCAUUUGUAUAGAAUCUACCAUUUAUCCCAAGUUCUGCUCUUGCUGUCAUGACCAGAUUGUUCUUGAAGUAGUCUCCUCUAUUUUUUGUGAACCAUGCAUGGAAGCCAGGGACUUUCAUCUCCCAAAGAGUCUUGAGACUGUCAAGCUUGGUGUCAAAAUCAAUGGCAUCAUCAGCAUCUGCAAGCCCACAUUGUAACAGUACGUCAUUUUGGGUCCCAUAGAUGUCAGCGAGGAUGGAAUUUUUGGUAUUCUGAUUACAUCCCAUUAUGUGAAGUUGGUGGGCAUCUCUUUCUUGAAGGUGUUGGGUGCAGAAUAACUGUUGUGCAUUGUUGAAGAUAUCAGUCAUGCCCUUUGCCAAUGCUUGAUCAAGAUCAUGACCUAUUUUUUUCAAACCAAUGAGACCUGGAUGUGCAAUAGCAAGCUCCCCAGCAAAUCGUCUAUAACUUUCACGUGUCUUUCUGAAAUGCCAAAAACUGGGGCCUGGGAACUCUGGAUGUUUCCCUUUAAGAUUAAUGAGGCCUUCAUGGGUAUAUGUAGUGUCAGUCAGCCAGAGACCAUCCACUAGUUCAAAUGUUGUGUCCACAUGCAAUAUUGAGUUUCCAAGAACACAGAAUUUGUUUAUGUCAUUUAACAUGGAAGCCAGGUAGUUGACAGUAAGAUACUGGUCUUUAGUAAAGGUUACAGUGUUAAUCAGGUCAAGGUUUUUAAGGCUUGAUACCAGUACUUCUGCUUCGCUAUGUCUGUCUGUGGAACUGCCAGGUGUGGCUGUGGAUUUCUUUGAUGCCAGCUUUCUAUUGUGGACCAUUUUAGGGUCACAGAGUGUCUCACUCAUUGUUUCGGUGGAUGUUUUCAUGGCUAUUUCAUUAUAAACCUUGUCUGUGGACAUGCCUUCUUCUAACAAUUUAUCCACUUCUGACACCAGUUUUGGGUCUUUCUUGUAGUAUGUGCUAGUUGUUGGCCGCUUAGCGUUACCAUGUCGUGGUGCUAUAAAGUCAGAUGGUCCUUGAUCAUCUUUAGCCCAGCGAUACAUCACAAGAUAGUAGGGCUUGGGGUCUUUGUCACUUGCCGCUUUUACAUAUGCUAUCGUGCGGGAAAAAUCUGGGUUGUGUUUACUUGUGCGAUACCGAUGGGUAAGCUCAUAAACCUCUCUUUCAUCUACAAAUUUUCUUUUGUACGAUUUAGAAUCUUUAAUGUUGACAUAAAAAGCUCCAUUUUCCGUCUUAUGGGCUGUCGCAGAACCAGAAUCAUUGUAUAGAAAGUAUCGUGUAACACUUCCUCUUGACAGAUAAGCGCCAUUGUCAUCUGACUCUGCAGACUUUAUUGGAAUAUUUCUCAUGUCAAGGGUGAAGAUCUUGUUUUCCCUGAUUGCAGAGGGCUUUUGCUUGAAGUCAAGUUCUUCUGGGUUUUGUAGUAGUAUGUUGAGAAUAGUUGAGUGGCUGUUGGUGAUAGAAAAAUUUCAUGUCAAGCAUUACUGGCUUAAGUUUCUCCCUACAGUCACUUGCAGAAAUUCUUUCCCAAAAGAUAAAUGAACAAAAAUAAAUGUGGAAAAUAGUUGACGGUGUAGGAACUGAGCUACACUGUACUUGUAAUGAAAAACUAUUUUAUAUCAUGAAUUACCUUGCAUCGUUUUUCAUAGAUGUUUCUUCAUUUGUAUUGGUUAAUAAAAGUGGAGGAGAGUUUUCAUCCUUUACCUUAUAUAAACAAAACAAAUGUUAUCUUUCUAUUAUUGUUAACAUGGAAUAAAGUGCUGAUUGACUUAUCAAUUUUGCUGGUGCAUUGUCAGGUUACUGCUGAAAGAGCUCUAGUCCUAUAUCUACAAGCUGGCAUUACUAAUGUAUGCUUACCUUAAUUGGUAAAGACUCCAUCAAUUGGUCAUCAUCAUAGUCAUCAUCAUCAUCAUCAUCAUCAUCAUCAUCAUCGGAUAGUAUAGUAAUAAUUUCUAGAAAACAAUUAGCAGACAUAUUUUUAAUAAUGAACUAUCAGUUAACAUAUUAAAUACUGUUAUAAGAUUUUUUUUUAACAGAAUUAAGAAUCAAACACUCAAUAUUUCACCUUUUGCUGAAAUGCAUGUAAUUAAAUGAUUUAUGAUUACCUUCUGGAUCUUCUCUUGACUUCAACAUUUUGGAGAGUUGAUGUAGUUCACAAAUUAACUAGUAGAAGUGUCAUUAUUAUUAAUUUAUUGAACAUUUUGAAUGCAAAAAAAAACAACAAAUAAACAAACAAAAAACACAUGAUAUUUGUACAGAGGUGAAAGAAAAAAUUUCAAAAACUAAUAGCAUUCUUUUCUUUUGAAAGUGCUGGGCACCCAACAUAAUUUGGUAUCUUGUAAGGGGUAAUUUUAAAUUAUAUGUUGCAUCAAUUUUGUUUUGUUUUCGCUGAAGUGUGCAUUUGGUGGUGAUGGGGAAGACUUGAUUUAUAUAUACCAAACAGGUAUUAACUCAUUCAUUGGCCGAUAAUAUCUAUAUCCUUCAUGUAUAAGGUCAAUGAAUUAGGAUUAAAUUCCAAACAGAAUUGCUGGAACUCAGUCAGAUGAUAAUAGAAAGCAUUACAUAUACACCGUAAGAGUUAUAUUAAAAUGACACAAAAAUUGGA